UUGUCUGGUGUUCCAAAAAACUGCGAGAAUGCUAAAAGUCACAGACAAUGGAUUGUAUAAGGAGACAAUGGAUUGUCAGAAGGCAGUGACCAAAAAAUUUUUCUGAAUAACACAUGAUUUUCAACAUGAAUCUUAAACAUAAAAAAUAUGUUGUUAACCUACUAAAAUCAUGCUAUUUACAAUGUUUUAACAUCAUAUU
rnacentral:lncRNA from 1 species